rnacentral:rRNA from 1 species
CUAGCCGUAAACGUUGGAUACUAGGCGUUGCUCGUAUCGACCCGAGCAGUGUCGUAGCUAACGCGUUAAGUAUCCCGCCUGGGGAGUACGCGCGCAAGCGUGAAGCUCAAAGGAAUUGACGGGGGCCCGCACAAGCGGUGGAGUAUGUGGUUUAAUUCGAUGCAACGCGAAGAACCUUACCAAGGCUUGACAUGUCGCGAACUUCUGGGAAACCAGGGGGUGCCUUCGGGAGCGCGAACACAGGUGGUGC